rnacentral:tRNA from 1 species
ACUAGAAUGACUGAUAAAAAGUAAUAGACUGUAAAUUUAUUUAUGAAAAAAAAAAUUCUUCUAGUA